AUCGAACGCUGGCGGCAGGCUUAACACAUGCAAGUCGAGCGGGGUGAUGGUGCUUGCACUAUCACUUAGCGGCGGACGGGUGAGUAAUGCUUAGGAAUCUGCCUAUUAGUGGGGGACAACAUCUCGAAAGGGAUGCUAAUACCGCAUACGUCCUACGGGAGAAAGCAGGGGAUCACUUGUGACCUUGCGCUAAUAGAUGAGCCUAAGUCGGAUUAGCUAGUUGGUGGGGUAAAGGCCUACCAAGGCGACGAGCUGUAGCGGGUCUGAGAGGAUGGCACGCCAAGCGGGGACUGAGACACGGCCCAGAGUCCUACGAGAGGGAGCAGUGGGGAAUAUUGGACAAUGGGGGGAACCCGGAUCCAGCCACGCCGCGUGUGUGAAGAAGGCCUUAUGGUUGUAAAGCACUUUAAGCGAGGAGGAGGCUCUUUUGGUUAAUACCCAAGAUGAGUGGACGUUACUCGCAGAAUAAGCACCGGCUAACUCUGUGCCAGCAGCCGCGGUAA
rnacentral:rRNA from 1 species